rnacentral:rRNA from 1 species
GACGAACGCUGGCGGUGUGCUUAACACAUGCAAGUCGAACGGUAAGGCCCUUUCGGGGGUACACGAGUGGCGAACGGGGGAGUAACACGUGAGUAACCUGCCCUCAUCUCUGGGAUAACAGUCGGAAACGGUUGCUAAUACUGGAUAUGAGCUUGCAAGGCAUCUUGUGGGUUGGAAAGAUUUUUUUGGUUGGGGAUGGACUCGCGGCCUAUCAGCUUGUUGGUGAGGUAGUGGCUCACCAAGGCUUCGACGGGUAGCCGGCCUGAGAGGGCGACCGGCCACAGUGGGACUGAGAUACGGCCCAAACUCCGACGGGAGGCAGCAGGGGGGAAUAUUGCACAAUGGACGGAAGUCUGAUGCAGCAACGCCGCGUGCGGGAUGACGGCCUUCGGGUUGUAAACCGCGUUCAAUUGUGACGAAGCUUUUUGUGACGGUAGCAGUAGAAGAAGCACCGGCUAACUACGUG